GUGCCAGCAGCCGCGGUAAUACGAAGGGGGCUAGCGUUGCUCGGAAUUACUGGGCGUAAAGCGCACGUAGGCGGCUCUUUAAGUCGGGGGUGAAAUCCUGGAGCUCAACUCCAGAACUGCCUUCGAUACUGUAGAGCUUGAGUUCGGGAGAGGUGAGUGGAACUGCGAGUGUAGAGGUGAAAUUCGUAGAUAUUCGCAAGAACACCAGUGGCGAAGGCGGCUCACUGGCCCGAUACUGACGCUGAGGUGCGAAAGCGUGGGGAGCAAACAGGAUUAGAUACCCCUGUAGUCC
rnacentral:rRNA from 1 species